UACGAAGGGGGCUAGCGUUGCUCGGAAUGACUGGGCGUAAAGGGUGCGUAGGUGGUUAGGUAAGUCCGAUGUGAAAUCUCCAGGCUCAACCCUGGAAAUGGCAUUGGAUACUAUCUAGCUUGAGGAGUGGAGGGGGGACUGGAAUUCUCGGUGUAGCAGUGAAAUGCGUAGAUAUCGAGAGGAACACCGUGGCGAAGGCGAGUCCCUGGACACUUCCUGACACUGAGGCACGAAAGCUAGGGGAGCAAACAGGG
rnacentral:rRNA from 1 species